GAAGCUGGUGGAUCACUUGAGACCAGGAGUUGGAGACCAGCCUGGGCAACAUGGCGAAACCCCUUCACUGAAAAUACAAACAUCAGCCAGAUGUGGUGGCAAGUGCCGGUAGACCCAGCUACUCACUCUGCAGGCUGAGGCUGCAGAAUCGCUUCAACCUGAGAGGGGGAUGUUGCAGUGAGCCCAGAUCGUGCCACUACACUCCAGCCUGGGCCACAGAGAGAGACUGUGUCUCAAAUAAAUAAAUACAUAAAUAAAAUAACUAUUGAACAAAAACAGAAUACUGAGUUACGAGAGAUGUAGACAUAGUAUAUACAGGGUCAGAAGAGUCUGUGCAGGGAAACAUCGAGAAGGCUCCAGAUCAAGGCUGCAUGCUGAACUUCUUGAACAUGGGAUCUGAUAUGAUUUGGCUGCGUCCCCACCCAAAUAUCAUCCUGAAUUCCCAUGUGUUGUGGGAGGGACCCGGUAGGAGGUAAUUGAAUCAUGACGGUAGGUCUUUCCCGUACUGUUCUCGUGAUAGCGAGCAAGUCUCACGAGAUCUGAUGGUUUUAAAAAGGGGAGUUUAAGUGCACGGGCUCUCUGCCUGCUGCCGUCCACGUAAGAUGAGAGUUGCUUCUCCUUGCCUUCCAUCCUGAUUGUGAAGCCUACCAAGCCAUGUGGAACUAGUCUCACUCUGUUGCCCAAGCUGGAGUGCAGUUGCACCAUCUCUGCUCACUGCAGCCUCUACCUUCUGGGUUCAAGCGAUUCUCCUGCCUCAGCCUCCCAAGCAGCUGGGACUACAGGUGCUUUCUAUUCAGAAAAGGAUAAAAUACCUUGGAGAGAAAUAAGAUGGAAGAGGGAAGAAUUUCAAUUUUGGAUUAUUAUUUUUAGCUGGACAAAUUGAGAGCAAAAAGUUCUCAAAUUUUAUGUGAAAGAAGAUUUAUGAGAUAUGAAUGAACUGCUGUCAUUAGAUACCGCCUUAUUA
rnacentral:lncRNA from 1 species